GAGAAUGCAUAUGAUUGGUUGAU
rnacentral:siRNA from 1 species